AUUGAUUAACUUUUCAUCGACAGCAGUAAGCUUCAGACAGUUGUUCUCAGGACCUUCCGCAAGAGGACACGGUCCCAGAGACGAGAUGGUUCUGUGCUCGAGGGGACACGGAGAGGACACGUGGAGCGGCCAGGCCUCUGCUUUCUGUUUCAUAUAGUAGAUAUGAUCUGGUGAUAAGUGCUUGGAGAAAACCACAGCAGUCUUGCGGCUUGCUUUGACCAGUAGGAUGUGGCAGAUGUGAUGCUGUGCCUGGUCCAAGCUUCAGCCUCAAGAAGACACACAGCUUCCGCGCUUGAACCAGCCUCGUGGAGGGUGAGAGACAUGGGCCCAGUGUUGCUGGGCCCCAGAGCACAGCUGCCCAAGUAGCCGGGAACUGACCACAGACUCGCGGGUGAGAAUCUGAGGAGACCAGCCCCAGCACUGACCACUGAAUCGUGGGAUAAAUAUGACUGCUGUUUCCAGCCUUGCAGUGGCAGGGUGGUUUCUCGUGCAGCAAAAGCUAACUGAUACAGACAGCUUUAAGAAGUGAAAUCUCUGAGUCAAUGUUUCAGUGCAGGUUAGACUACAGGACUCAGGCAGAGAAGGAAGGGCUAGACUAUAGGAGGCUGUAGUAAAGCUAUACGUUUUUGGAGCAUCCAAAAUAUCAACCACUAGGGAAAAAGUCAAGUCAAUAUUCUCAAUGCUGCCCAUCCCAAUAUCUUCAUUUUAUAUUACAAAUAUUUUUAUAUCAUCCUUUUUAUAUCCUCUAAUGAUUUGCAGGUCACAUUACCCACCUAUACACAUAAUCUAAAUAAAUUAA